UAUUUUCAUAUAUUGGUAAGCCUAAAGUACCCAUUUUUUCUUUCAGGUGGAAGAAACAGGUUUAGAAAGUUUAAUAAACUUACCUGUGUGAGACUAUAAAAGGAAAAUGAACCCAAAGAAACUCGGGAAUCAUGAUAAGCUUUUAUUAGCUGAAACAGUCCACAGUAUUAAGUGGAUAUCAACUGAUGAACUCCCAGUUUCUGCUGUUCCGUGAAGUCACACACCAGCAAAAGGAGGCCAGAACAAGGGACCCAGGGUGGACAGCCAGUCCUUCAGUUCCCUCCAGUUGCAGCCUCCUCACCUUACUGUCUACUGUGCCAGCCUAUACUUCACAAUUCUACAGCUCCAUCUCCAAAAUGUUGAGGCCACCAUGGCCUUGAUUGGAGUUGAAUUGAUGCUGCCUACUGUUUGCCUCCAGGGUCCCAGAGCUUUCUACUGCUGCUCAGUACUUUCCGACUUUAAGGAAUCAUCAGAGUGGUAGAGUAUAUGUGUGGUAGCCAACAGUGAUGGAAAUGGUUUUCAAGGUGUGGGACAGCAAAAAUCCUAUGCCCUGGUAAUGUAGUCAACUUGAAAGUGUUCCCACUGCCAAAUCCAUGAGGGACCCCUGGCCACACUGGGAUGCCUGGAGCAGUUCGUCCUGGCAGUAACAACCUUCAUCCCAUGUUUGGUAUCAUGGGAGAGCUGAGUUCUGGAUUUCAGGUAGGUAAAUCACUUAACCUCUUACACGUAUUUGAUUUUAGUGGAAUUUUUUUGAGCAUUAUUUAGCACAGUGCUGGCUUGCUUGAAGAACCACUUUCUUUUAGCCAAAAUCUUCAGUGGCCAUUUUACUCCUUUGUCAACUGCAACUUUUGCACUAAUGAUGAUGUCAGCCCUCCUUGGCACUGAAUGAAGAAAAUUAUAAUGUUGCUACCUCUUACGGAUAUUACCUAAUGCAAAAAUAUAGAAACAGCUUUGUAUCUGGAUGAAGAUUCCAUCCAAACAGAAGAGAAAGGAAUGAGUUUUAAAGUUCUUUGAGUAUUGAGGUUUGGGGUUUUUUUGUGUUUUUUUGGGGGGGGGUUGUAAUUAUAUGCCUCAAGUGGGUAGUAAGAAACCGGAUAAUGAAAAUAUAACAGAGAAUUUCAAGUUCAAAUAUUUGUUAAGGGUCUACUAAGUGCCCAGCAUGGUUCUAGGUAUUGACAUAAUGAUAGAAUAUGAUGUCUGCCUUAGCCUUCAGAAGCUCAUGGUCUAAUAGGAGAGUACAUUUAGACCUAGGAGCACGAGGGGUAUAUAGAUGGGAGUAUUUAU
rnacentral:lncRNA from 1 species